CGUCAAACCAAACGCUAGAAAAAUGAUUUUCAACUGAAAAAAAUUUUUCUGACUAUUUCUACGGGGAACCAAACGCCCCCUAAGUAAAAAGUAAAGAUCGCGUAAAAUCUCCAUUCUAACUCAUUUUCCCCCAAAACCUGACGAGUGCUUUUAUAAUUAAAAUAUACACAAAAAUAUCGUCAAUAGAGAGUUUAACUAUACUGCGAAAAUCUCAGUCCUUACAUAACGUUUUCAGGCAGAUCUCAUCUAUCACGAGACACGUGUCAAUAGCAAUGGGAGGGGAAUUCGGGCCCACGAUCUGCGCGGCUGAUUAAUAAGUCCGAAUUCACUUCAUCAACUCAACUGGAUCUGUAAAGUAGCACCACAAGUUUGGGCACACGAUUUCCUUGUUUUGGGUGCCUGAAACUUGCCAGAAUCUUAGUCUUAGCUUAUUUCGAUGCUCCGAAUUCGUUUUCGCGUCUAUUUUGUGCUGAAACGACUCUAAUUCAUCUCGAGACUCUCCAGAUGUGUUAACCAGCUAACACUAAUGUCGUGAAUUCGACUUCCACUCCCUCGGGGUAUCACGUAGAACUUGGCUAAUUUUGCAUUUGGAUGAAAAUUGAGUUAUUUUAAAAAAUAAGACAAAUAGCGUUUAGAUUGAUAAGAUAGAAUAAGAAGAAUAAUGGAUAGAUAUAAAUAGAAAAUAACGAUAUUAUCCGUCUUAUUACAUUUGAAUUUGAGUUUUUAAAUUUUAUAUUUAAAUUUUUAAAUUUUAUAUUUGAAUUUUUAAAUUUUAAAUUUUAUUUUUUAAAUCUUAAAAUUCAAAAUUAAAAUUUAAAAUAUCAAAUUUUUAAAUUUCAAAUUUAAAUUUGAUAUAAAAUUUAAAUUUGAAAAUUUAAAAUACCAAAUUUAAAAUUUAUAUUUUAAAAUUUUAAUUUUAAUUUAUUAAAUUUAAAUUUUAAAAUUUAAAAUUAAAAUUAAAAUUUUAGAAAAAGGGAGCCAGAGGAACAACUGUUUCAGGACAGAGAGCGAAUUG
rnacentral:lncRNA from 1 species